UCUGGAAACUNUCUGACUUGAGUGCAGAAGGGGAGAGUGGAAUUCCAUGUGUAGCGGUGAAAUGCGUAGAUAUAUGGAGGAACACCAGUGGCGAAAGCGGCUCUCUGGUCUGUCACUGACGCUGAGGCUCGAAAGCGUGGGUAGCGAACAGGAUUAGAUACCCUGGUAGUCCACGCCGUAAACGAUGAGUGCUAGGUGUUAGGCCCUUUCCGGGGCUUAGUGCCGGAGCUAACGCAAUAAGCACUCCGCCUGGGGAGUACGACCGCAAGGUUGAAACUCAAAGGAAUUGACGGGGGCCCGCACAAGCGGUGGAGCAUGUGGUUUAAUUCGAAGCAACGCGAAGAACCUUACCAGGUCUUGACAUCCCGAUGCUAUUCUUAGAGAUAGGAAGUUACUUCGGUACAUCGGAGACAGGUGGUGCAUGGUUGUCGUCAGCUCGUGUCGUGAGAUGUUGGGUUAAGUCCCGCAACGAGCGCAACCCUUAUUGUUAGUUGCCAUCAUUAAGUUGGGCACUCUAGCGAGACUGCCGGUAAUAAACCGGAGGAAGGUGGGGAUGACGUCAAAUCAUCAUGCCCCUUAUGACCUGGGCUACACACGUGCUACAAUGGUCGGUACAACGAGUUGCGAGCCGGUGACGGCAAGCUAAUCUCUGAAAGCCGAUCUCAGUUCGGAUUGGAGGCUGCAACUCGCCUCCAUGAAGUCGGAAUCGCUAGUAAUCGCGGAUCAGCACGCCGCGGUGAAUACGUUCCCGGGCCUUGUACACACCGCCCGUCGCACCACGAGAGUUUGUAACACCCGAAGUCGGUGAGGUANCCUUUUAGGGGC
rnacentral:rRNA from 1 species